AAUUAAUUGGCAGAUUUAAUGCGUUGAAUUUAAGAUUCUUCUAUUAAUUAAUUAAUAA
rnacentral:tRNA from 1 species